UGGUUCUGGCAUCGAUGAAGAACGCAGCGAAAUGCGAUAAGUAAUGCGAAUUGCAGAAUUUCCGUGAGUCAUCGAAUCUUUGAACGCACAUUGCGCCCUUUGGCAUUCCGAAGGGCAUGCCUGUUCGAGCGUCAUUAUCAACCUUCAAACCCCGUGUUUGGCGUUGGGCCCAGGUCGUGCUCUCCCGCGCGACCGGCUCCAAAGACAAUGACGGCGUCCGUGGGACCCUCGGUGCAACGAGCUUUUUCCAAAGCACGCGUCGAAGCGGAUCUGCGGGGGCCGGUCUCUGAUGAUUUUACAUCACUUCUCAGGUUGACCUCGGAUCAGGUAGGGAUACCCGCUGA
rnacentral:misc_RNA from 1 species